rnacentral:rRNA from 1 species
GACGAACGCUGGCGGCGUGCUUAACACAUGCAAGUCGAACGGAAAGGCCCUGCUUGCAGGGUACUCGAGUGGCGAACGGGUGAGUAACACGUGGGUGAUCUGCCCUGCACUUCGGGAUAAGCCUGGGAAACUGGGUCUAAUACCGGAUAGGAGCCAUUUUUAGUGUGAUGGUUGGAAAGUUUUUUCGGUGUAGGAUGAGCUCGCGGCCUAUCAGCUUGUUGGUGGGGUAAUGGCCUACCAAGGCGGCGACGGGUAGCCGGCCUGAGAGGGUGGACGGCCACAUUGGGACUGAGAUACGGCCCAGACUCCUACGGGAGGCAGCAGUGGGGAAGAUUGCACAAUGGGCGCAAGCCUGAUGCAGCGACGCCGCGUGGGGGAGGACGGCCUUCGGGUUGUAAACUCCUUUCGCUAGGGACGAAGCUUUUUGUGACGGUACCUAGAGAAGAAGCACCGGCUAACUACGUG